UGUAUUUCAGAGCCAGAAUUCAGCUUCCCACACAGCAACGUGAACCACUUGGAGAUGUCAAGCAGUCUAUUCAUUGCUCAGAUUGUAUUUUGAUGCUGCUCAGAGUUCCCAGUAAAGUUAUGUCAGAUGGCAAGAAAUUAUCUGUGUGGGUGCUGGAAGCUUCAGAGAUAUAAUGCACAGCAGAAAAGAAGUAGGGAAGGAUAAUGUCUCCACAUCUAAUUCCUUGCUCUGGACAGAAUAACCAUCAGCCACAGCUCCAUGACCGUCAGCUGGCCAGUGCAUUAAGCCUGAGGGACUCUUAGACAUUCCUGUUAUGGCUGGAAGCCCUUUCCUCUUUUCCUGUGAGGCAGAAGGAGGUGGCAUUGGAGCCAGGGCAGAGCUGGGAAGGCUGCUGGAAUGAGGCAGCCCUGCUUGUGAAACCACCCCAAAGCCUGAAAACAUCCCAGGUUUCUAAACUACAGCUUCUAUCAGAGCUUGGUCUUGAAGUGACAGACCUUUGGAUGUGGUUGUCUUUGCUCAGUCCUGCUUGCAGUGAAAAGGCCAGUCCACUGUGUCCUGACUGGGUGCUGCCAAAUUGAAGGGUGUGAAGAUAUAGCAUUUGCUAAUUUGGGAUUGCAUCUGGGGUAAAUCUCUACUUGUUUUCCCUCUAAGGUGCCUGUGAAACACACAUUUGUGCAAUAUCUAAGCUCCAUACAGCUGUAAUUAUUUCUAAUGGUUUCCCCUAUCUCUUGCAUUUAGUGCACUGGAAUUUUCUCUUAAUUUCAGAUAUUUCUGAAAAUUGCUUAGCUAAAUUUGAAUUCAUUAAAGACAGCAAUCAUCAUUAUUUGAUAAAUAGCAUCAUUAAAUCCAUUACACAAUAAAAUAUUGCAAAUAAGAGCACAAGUAAAUAUUUGCAAGAGUAUUCACACUGUAUUUCCUCUCCUGGCAUUUUGAAAAGCUCUUUUAUUGUCUCACAACAAAAUUGCCAAGUAGCUCCAAAUGCUCAUGCAUCAUCUGCAAGCAAGGGAGAAAGAAGGCUGCUGUUUAAUAAAAUUUGAUUCAUCCAAUCAGGGAAGGGAGGGAACAACGUAUGAUGUGAAGAGCCAAUUGGGUAGCAUGUGCUCUGACGAUUAACACCAGCCAAUUUGCUAACGAGACACAAAUAAUAAUCCGUAAUCAAAAAUAAUUCAAGUGACUGAGGCGAAUAGACACA